GUCUGCAACUCGACUACAUGAAGCUGGAAUCGCUAGUAAUCGCGAAUCAGAAUGUCGCGGUGAAUACGUUCCCGGGUCUUGUACACACCGCCCGUCACACCAUGGGAGUCAGUAACGCCCGAAGUCAGUGACCCAACCCUAACCGGAGGGAGCUGCCGAAGGCGGGACCGAUAACUGGGGUGAAGUCGUAACAAGGUACC
rnacentral:rRNA from 1 species